CAGACCAAACAAUAUCACAGGAGUCCUUUGAUGUUGUUCACGCAGAAAUUACGUGCCUAAUUACCGGCAACCUCAACAAAAAUAAUAAAUACGACUGUUUAAUGUGGGCAACAGAUGAUGCGUCCAGCAUUCUUCCGGAAAACUGCAAGAAAAUAUUCUGUGAAAAGUGCAAUGCACCCAACUUUUUUGUUACAGAGCAAGACAAUAAGUGUUUGGAAUAUAAAUGACCUAAAAACUUCGUUUUCAUGAAAAAUGGGUAUUCAUAGAGAACGAUCUUCGUAAAAAAUGUUGGAAUAAAUACUUAUUUUCUGACAACA